GUGGGGCUUCGUGAGCGGCGGAGGGUUAGUAACGCGUGGGAACGUGCCCAGAUCUACGGAAUAGCCUCGGGAAACUGAGAGUAAUACCGUAUACGCCCUUCGGGGGAAAGACUUAUCGCCUUUAGAUGGGCCCGCGUUAGAUUAGAUAGUUGGUGGGGUAAUGGCCUACCAAGUCGACGAUCUAUAGCUGGUCUGAGAGGAUGAUCAGCCACACUGGGACUGAGACACGGCCCAGACUCCUACGGGAGGCAGCAGUGGGGAAUAUUGGACAAUGGGCGAAAGCCUGAUCCAGCAAUGCCGCGUGAGUGAUGAAGGCCUUAGGGUUGUAAAGCUCUUUUACUAGGGAUGAUAAUGACAGUACCUAGAGAAUAAGCUCCGGCUAACUCCGUGCCAGCAGCCGCGGUAAUACGGAGGGAGCUAGCGUUGUUCGGAAUUACUGGGCGUAAAGCGCGCGUAGGCGGCUUAUCAAGUCAGGGGUGAAAUCCCGGAGCUCAACUCCGGAACUGCCCUUGAAACUGGUUGGCUAGAAUAUUGGAGAGGUAAGCGGAAUUCCGAGUGUAGAGGUGAAAUUCGUAGAUAUUCGGAAGAACACCAGUGGCGAAGGCGACUUACUGGACAAUUAUUGACGCUGAGGUGCGAAAGCGUGGGGA
rnacentral:rRNA from 1 species